AUAUGAGUAACUUGGGAACCUCAUUAAAAUACAGAUUCUGAUUCAGUAUAUCUGGGGUAGGACCUGAGAUAAUGCGUUUUUUAGUGAGCUCCCAGGCGACGCCAAG
rnacentral:pre_miRNA from 1 species